rnacentral:rRNA from 1 species
CCUACGGGUGGCAGCAGUGAGGAAUAUUGGUCAAUGGACGAGAGUCUGAACCAGCCAAGUAGCGUGAAGGAUGACUGCCCUAUGGGUUGUAAACUUCUUUUGUGCGGGAGCAAUAAUGGUCACGUGUGGCCAGACGAGAGUACUGUACGAAUAAGAAUCGGCUAACUCCGUGCCAUCAGCCGUGGUAAGACGGGGGAUUCAAACGUUAUCCGGAUUUAUUGGGUUUAAAGGGUGCGUAGGCUGUGAGGUAAGUCAGCGGUGAAAUGCCCGCGCUCAACGGGGUGAAGUGCCAUUGAUACUGCCUUGCUGGAAUGCGGAUGCCGUGGGAGGAAUGUGUGGUGUAGCGGUGAAAUGCAUAGAUAUCACACAGAACACCGAUUGCGAAGGCAUCUCACGAAUCCGCGAUUGACGCUGAUGCACGAAAGCGUGGGUAUCAAACAGGAUUAGAUACCCUUGUAGUC